AUUGAACGCUGGCGGCAUGCUUUACACAUGCAAGUCGAACGGUAACAGGCCGCAAGGUGCUGACGAGUGGCGAACGGGUGAGUAAUGCAUCGGAACGUGCCCAGUCGUGGGGGUUAACUACUCGAAAGAGUAGCUAAUACCGCAUACGAUCUAUGGAUGACAGCGGGGGACCGUAAGGCCUCGCGCGAUUGGAGCGGCCGAUGUCAGAUUAGGUAGUUGGUGGGGUAAAGGCUCACCAAGCCAACGAUCUGUAGCUGGUCUGAGAGGACGACCAGCCACACUGGGACUGAGACACGGCCCAGACUCCUACGGGAGGCAGCAGUGGGGAAUUUUGGACAAUGGGCGCAAGCCUGAUCCAGCAAUGCCGCGUGCAGGAAGAAGGCCUUCGGGUUGUAAACUGCUUUUGUACGGAACGAAACGGCUCUGGUUAAUACCCGGGGCUAAUGACGGUACCGUAAGAAUAAGCACCGGCUAACUACGUG
rnacentral:rRNA from 1 species